rnacentral:rRNA from 1 species
AGGGUUCGAUUCUGGCUCAGGAUGAACGCUGGCGGCGUGCUUAACACAUGCAAGUCGAGCGAAGCGCUUUACUUAGAUUUCUUCGGAUUGAAAAGUUUUGCGACUGAGCGGCGGACGGGUGAGUAACGCGUGGGUAACCUGCCUCAUACAGGGGGAUAACAGUUAGAAAUGACUGCUAAUACCGCAUAAGACCACAGUACCGCAUGGUACAGUGGGAAAAACUCCGGUGGUAUGAGAUGGACCCGCGUCUGAUUAGCUAGUUGGUAAGGUAACGGCUUACCAAGGCGACGAUCAGUAGCCGACCUGAGAGGGUGACCGGCCACAUUGGGACUGAGACACGGCCCAA